ensembl:misc_RNA Metazoa_SRP Metazoan signal recognition particle RNA
GCUGGGCAUGGUGGUGCAUGCCUAUAAUCCCAGUACUCAGGAGGCUGAGGCAGGAGGAUCACUUGAGCCCUGGAGGUGGAGGCUGCAGUGAGCCAUGAUCGGACCACUGCACUCUAGCCUGGGUGACAGAGUGAGAACCUGUCUCAA